rnacentral:rRNA from 1 species
UACGUAGGGGGCUAGCGUUGUCCGGAAUCAUUGGGCGUAAAGAGCGCGUAGGCGGCCAGAUAAGUCCGGUGUGAAAGUCACAGGCUCAACCUGUGAAUGCCGCUGGAAACUGUCUGGCUAGAGUCCGGGAGGGGCGAGUGGAAUUCCUGGUGUAGCGGUGAAAUGCGUAGAUAUCAAGAGGAACACCUGAGGUGAAGACGGGUUGCUGGGCUGACACUGACGCUGAGGCGCGAAAGCCAGGGGAGCAAACGGG